UGGUGACCCUCAACUGCAUGGAAU
rnacentral:misc_RNA from 1 species